rnacentral:rRNA from 1 species
CACGUAGGGCGCAAGCGUUGUCCGGAAUUAUUGGGCGUAAAGAGCUCGUAGGCGGUUUGUCGCGUCUGCUGUGAAAACUGGAGGCUCAACCUCCAGCCUGCAGUGGGUACGGGCAAACUAGAGUGCGGUAGGGGAGAUUGGAAUUCCUGGUGUAGCGGUGGAAUGCGCAGAUAUCAGGAGGAACACCGAUGGCGAAGGCAGAUCUCUGGGCCGUAACUGACGCUGAGGAGCGAAAGCGUGGGGAGCGAACAGG